rnacentral:rRNA from 1 species
GUGCCAGCAGCCGCGGUAAUACGAAGGGGGCUAGCGUUGCUCGGAAUCACUGGGCGUAAAGGGCGCGUAGGCGGCUGAUUUAGUCGAGGGUGAAAGCCCGUGGCUCAACCACGGAAUGGCCUUCGAUACUGGUUGGCUUGAGACCGGAAGAGGACAGCGGAACUGCGAGUGUAGAGGUGAAAUUCGUAGAUAUUCGCAAGAACACCAGUGGCGAAGGCGGCUGUCUGGUCCGGUUCUGACGCUGAGGCGCGAAAGCGUGGGGAGCAAACAGGAUUAGAUACCCGCGUAGUCC